rnacentral:rRNA from 1 species
GAUGAACGCUGGCGGCGUGCCUAAUACAUGCAAGUCGAGCGAACAGACGAGGAGCUUGCUCCUCUGACGUUAGCGGCGGACGGGUGAGUAACACGUGGAUAACCUACCUAUAAGACUGGGAUAACUUCGGGAAACCGGGGCUAAUACCGGAUAAUAUAUUGAACCGCAUGGGUCAAUAGUGAAAGACGGUUUUGCUGUCACUUAUAGAUGGAUCCGCGCCGCAUUAGCUAGUUGGUAAGGUAACGGCUUACCAAGGCGACGAUGCGUAGCCGACCUGAGAGGGUGAUCGGCCACACUGGAACUGAGACACGGUCCAGACUCCUACGGGAGGAAGCAGUAGGGAAUCUUCCGCAAUGGGCGAAAGCCUGACGGAGCAACGCCGCGUGAGUGAUGAAGGUCUUCGGAUCGUAAAACUCUGUUAUUAGGGAAGAACAAAUGUGUAAGUAACUAUGCACGUCUUGACGGUACCUAAUCAGAAAGCCACGGCUAACUACGUG